UUCCAAUCCAUUCGUUGGAGAGGUACUGCUAUGUAAAUGCUCUUGCCCAAGAGUCAGGUUGGUCCACUCAUCAGGUGGGCCACAGUUUAUGAAACCAAUAUAUGACUAAAAAACUUUAAUAACUUGGCUGAAGUUUUUUCUAAAAUCAUCGCCCACCUGCUGAAUGGAACAUAUUUAUUUUCAUGCAAUAACAAGAGCGAACUUAGCAAAGCUCUUGUUCACUUAGGCUGAAUUUAGUCAGUCAAUAUUUGGUUAUUGCCAGUGGAGAUUUGAACAGGAGAUUGCUUUGAUUUGCUGACUUCUAGUACUAAGUCAUCCUAGAAAGAAAGAAAAAAACCACUUUAUGUUCCAAAAAUAGCAAAUCCCUGAAACCAAAGUAUUGUGCACAAAACUUACACACACACAUUGCAUUAUUUGAUUCUUUACCAUGAUAAUUUGUCCAUGUUGUGGUAAACCUGCAGGGAUUAGUUUUGGCUGUUGCCAAAAUUUAAAUUUAAAGCAAUCUCUAAGCUGUUUCAAUCUAUUAUCACUUUGGUGUUGUAAAUUUGAAGUCUCUAGAUAUAAUAGUAAAUUUCCGACAGUAUUCUAGAUGAGCCAUCAGCCACCUUACUGUAUGAAUUUAAUUUAAUCCAUUUUUGUUUGUGUUUUUUUUUCUUCUUUUUUUGGAUUCUUCCACCCAGAAUCAUGAGUGAGAUGAGAACUAUUUUGUCUUGUGUAGACUGAUGGGAUUAUGAUUCCCUCUACUUAAAUCAACUCGGAAAUGGUAAGAAGGCAAGCUUUAUUUCUAGGUGACUCAGAGCUGCAGCAACUGCUUCACAUCUUCAGGAUUGUGCAGUCUCCUAUCUCUGAACUUUGUUUUGAUCAAAACAGCAGUACUGAACAAUCCGUAUCUCAUGAAAAGCCAUCAAUUAGCACCACUGAUACAUCUCUUUCUUCUAGCAAUGGAGCUUUGGAUCCUAUGGAUACGUCUCCUUGUUCUACUAACCACUUAGAUGGCAUACAUGAUGACAACACUUACACAGUUCCCAAGAUUUGCAAAUCAACAAAACCUGGAAGAAGGGCAUCACCAGAAGCCAUAAAGAUGUGGAAAGAAAAUGGUUUUACUAGCCUAAUAAUUGCAUCUAUAGAGCUGGAUACUUGGAGCAUAGUUCAAGAGCUUCUACCACUUCUUUCAAAUUCAGCGCCAUUUGCCAUUUAUCAUCAAUAUCUUCACUUCAGUAAACACCGGUCAUUGCUGAGGCUCAUCAAACUGGAAGCUCCUCAUUGAUCAAGAAGGCUGUCAAACUUUUGACUCCUGGAGGGAACAUGCUGGAGUUGCGUCAUGAGCUGCGCUUACCCUUUGUUAAUCGGGUUAUAACAAACCAGGUAAAGAUUUAGGAAGACAGGAAGGCAUUGCCACUUUUAACAUUGAGGCCACAUGAUGAUGAACCUAUUAACUCAGUUACAUUCUUGACAAUGCAUCAUCGCCCUGAUCACAUAGUUCUUAUCACAAUGCUUCCUGAUUCUAGAAUUCCCAAUGUUUUUAGUCCGGUAACAGUUUAUAAUGGCCAAGGGCCAAAUCCGUUAUGAGGCGAGAUAUUAUCCGUCUUGGCCUAUUGAAUUUUUUGUUAUACAAAAUCAUUUUUAAUAUACAUCCUUUUUAUGGAUAAUGGAAAAUAUAUAUCAGGCAUCUUUUUUUGUGGUGAUUGCUCUAUCAAAGGGAUCAAUGGCUAUGGAUGAACCAUGCCCGAAAAAUCUAUUAGUUUGGAAGAUCCUAGUCGCCUCUCUUAGGAAAAUUUUCAGGUGAAUGUGGAUUGUGGCUCUAUUUCUCUUCUUAACCUGUCUAUUUCCAGGUCAGAGAUUAAAAUGUCAGAAUGUAUGCAUUUAUUCAUAAAGUAAUUGUAUAGUUUUCCAUGGGGAACUUAAACUAUUGGAUUUGGGGCAUAUGAUUGGCCUCACCAUGGAUAAGAAAAUAUCGGAAUAUUUCAUCAGUUUACUCAUUUAACUCAUUUGCUUUGAAUAUGGACUACUCCUUUCAUCAAUUUCUUACUGAAUUUAAUCCCUUAAAUGUUUUACUGUGCUGUCCAUAUUUGACCCUUAAUUCUUGAUAUCAUCUGGAGUGUUUUUAUUACUAGAAAACUAUAAGUCUGGAAUGAAUUUUGUGUUGAAUAAAAUUUUCUCACUUGUUAGAUACAUAGAUUUUAAUUGUUGGUGCAUAUUUUUGUACUACUCUACCCAACCAACGUUUUUAUGCUCCUGAUCAAUGUCAUUUAUGGUUGAAGAUCGUUUUGUUCUUUUAACAAUUUGUUUCCUAGUUAAUUUAAAAAGAAUCUAAACGAGGACAUUGUAGUGGUAUUUUGGGUCAAAAUUCUGGCACCUGUAUGACAACGAGGAAGUACAUUUAACAUGUUUGAACUUUGAAUAUUGGUCUUCCAUAUUCAUAUGCAUUGGGCUUCAAUCAAUGCAGGGGUCUUACUCAAUGGCUAAACAGCCAUCGGACUUUGAGGUUCUCAAUCAGGUCAAGAUAAGGUUGUUGAUUUUGAGAUGAAGCUCAUGGACAUUGACAGCAAGCAUCUUGGAAUUCCAGAAGCAGAGUAUCAUGCCAUUGUAAAGAUGCCAUCAGCUGAGUUCUCAAGGAUUUGCAAGGACCUCAGCAGCAUUGGAGAUACUGUUGUAAUUUCAGUGACAAAGGAAGGAGUGAAGUUCUCUACCAGGGGUGAUAUUGGAACUGCAAAUAUUGUUUGCCAGCAAGGUGCGUUAGAUAUUGACUGCUUUUCUCCCUUUGUGAACAACCUGAGGCAUUAAUCUCCAUUUAAGUGGUUUGGGUUUUGUUUUUGUAGUGACAUAUGACCCAAACAGUAUUUUCAUUAAUGAACAAGUCAUUGUAAUAAUGACAAAUGUCAUCUAUUUGUCAGUGUUUUUAAGCUGGGCUGGACUGGACGGUUUGAUUAAUCUGGGUCAGAACCAGCCGUGGAAAUGAGCCAAGUUGCCUGGAAACCCAUUUUGGGCAAGAAAUCAUUUAAACCAUCCAGCUGGUCUGCACAUCUGGAUUGGGCCUAUUGCCAGUUGGACUGCUGCUUCAAUUCUACUGUUUAUUGGUAAAAUUCAAAAUGGGUUGUGGUGUUCGAGUACCAUUUUAUUUUUUUAUUUUAUAGAGCGAACACUACCAACUGUGCUACAGGUAGCUAGUUGCAGUCAGUUCCUAUUAUUUUAUUUGUUUAAAACAUGUCAUGGUUGGACUGGAACAGACCAUUGUUUGGAUUUGGACCAAACUGCUGACAGAAAGGUCUGGUCUUAGGAUUUAAAACAUUAGUAUUCAGUGUAUGACAAGCAUAUAACUCACUGAAUGGUAAAUCUUUUUCAAUUUUCC